rnacentral:rRNA from 1 species
AUUGAACGCUGGCGGCAUGCCUUACACAUGCAAGUCGAACGGCAGCACGGGUGCUUGCACCUGGUGGCGAGUGGCGAACGGGUGAGUAAUACAUCGGAACGUACCUUAUCGUGGGGGAUAACGCAGCGAAAGCUGUGCUAAUACCGCAUACGCCCUGAGGGGGAAAGCGAGGGAUCGCAAGACCUCGCGCGAUUAGAGCGGCCGAUGCCUGAUUAGCUUGUUGGUGGGGUAAAAGCCCACCAAGGCGACGAUCAGUAGCUGGUCUGAGAGGACGAUCAGCCACACUGGGACUGAGACACGGCCCAGACUCCUACGGGAGGCAGCAGUGGGGAAUUUUGGACAAUGGGGGCAACCCUGAUCCAGCAAUGCCGCGUGAGUGAAGAAGGCCUUCGGGUUGUAAAGCUCUUUUGUCAGGGAAGAAACACCGGCUCUAACGCAGUCCGGGAGUGACGGUACCUGAAGAAUAAGCACCGGCUAACUACGUGCCAGCCGCCGCGGUAA